AUCUUUUUGUAGUUCAUAAGCGUGAUGAUUGGGUUUUCAUGUGCAUGCGUGAGAUGUGCCUCCCACAAAUCUUUUUUUU
rfam:Otolemur garnettii contig171086, whole genome shotgun sequence.